AUUGAACGCUGGCGGCAGGCUUAACACAUGCAAGUCGAGCGGGGGAGGUUACUUCGGUAAUUGACCUAGCGGCGGACGGGUGAGUAAUACUUAGGAAUCUGCCUAUUAAUGGGGGACAACAUCUCGAAGGGGAUGCUAAUACCGCAUACGCCCUACGGGGGAAAGCAGGGGAUCACUUGUGACCUUGCGUUAAUAGAUGAGCCUAAGUCGGAUUAGCUAGUUGGUGGGGUAAAGGCCUACCAAGGCGACGAUCUGUAGCGGGUCUGAGAGGAUGAUCCGCCACACUGGGACUGAGACACGGCCCAGACUCCUACGGGAGGCAGCAGUGGGGAAUAUUGGACAAUGGGGGGAACCCUGAUCCAGCCAUGCCGCGUGUGUGAAGAAGGCCUUAUGGUUGUAAAGCACUUUAAGCGAGGAGGAGGCUCUUUUGGUUAAUACCCAAGAUGAGUGGACGUUACUCGCAGAAUAAGCACCGGGUAACUCUGUGCCAGCCGCCGCCGUAU
rnacentral:rRNA from 1 species